GCCCCUAUAGCUCAGUGGUAGAGCACCCGCUCAGUAAGCGGAAGGUCGGUAGUUCACUCCUGCCGUGGUGGGCA
rnacentral:tRNA from 1 species